rnacentral:tRNA from 1 species
GCGCCCAUAGCUCAAUUGGAUAGAGCGUCGGUCUCCGAAGCCGAAGGUUGUAAGUUCAAGUCUUACUGGGCGCA